AGUCGAGGAAGAGCUCAUGUCGUAAAACUCUUCGAAUCCCUUCUCUCACUUUGUCUUCAAUUUUUGAGCUCAGAACCUCCUCUACUCUCACUUCCGGCUCUCGAUUUUGCAGGUCAGUUACUCGAUUCUCUCUGUCAACUUUCGGAUCUGAAUGUUGAAAUUGCUCGUUAUGUCUCGCCGACCUUGUCGCCGGUGAAGGAAAGGACGGGGAGGGUGGCGGUUAGGGUUAGGAGUCGUCACCAGCGACUAGCUCGCCCUGGCCUCCAUGGGCCGAAGGCCCGACGAGCAGGGGUCGGUUUUCGCCACCGAGGUUGAGCGGUUGAGCCCAAGCCGGCUUCUGAUUCCGGGAAGCCGUUCAGCGUCAUCGUGGAGUUUAAUAACUGGCGGAAGCAGCCUGAUUUGGCUGAGGCCGUGGCGGCGAUUCGGGCCUUGGUGUCUGUUAUAAGGCUCUGAUGGAGCUCCAAAUUAAGCUCAAGAAGGCUUCUGAUUCCCUAAAGGUUUGAGACAUGUCGUCUGAUUUCAAGUUAGAGGGAGUUAAAGGCCAUGAAAUUGAGGACCCAGAAGUUGGUUCUCCAAAUGGAAUACAUAAUAUUCUUGCAGGUCGAAGAACUAUGACUUUCAGUGACAGCGCGUUUCAGGUGGGAUCAUACCUGCACCGGAAGGCAUCAAUGGCAGCAUAUGUGGGAGCAGAGAGUUGGUGGAGAAAGUUCUGGAGUUCAUUCAAAGUGAUGACCGCCUAAGGGGGCUGAGAAGAUUGGAGUCACGUGUGAGUCCAGAGGAUGAAGCUAUUCAUCAUGGACACAGUAGCAGUUCUCCUUUGUUAGCAGGGUAAGAUGCACCCUUCUGAUGGGAUCAUGUUAGGGUCAAGUUAAAGAAGGAGGUAUUUGUUGUUGAAUAUGCAAACUGUAGUUGUGGAGUACAUUUUCUUUUUUGUUGUGAGGUGUGCUAAUUUUCUCAUUACACAUGCUUAAGCAGAUUGUUGCUCUGGGCAUGCCUGCUGUAUCGCCUACUGAAAAGGUUGGAAAGUAUGUGAGUCCAAGGGAAUGGAAUGAACUGAUUAGUGAUCCUAGUAAUGUCUCUGGUAUUCUUAAUGUCUGAUAACUAUGAUGCUAUUAAUUUUCCUUGAUUCACGGACUAAUCAUGUCUUUUUGCUUUUGAGUUAGAGUUCUUUUGAAUAAUCUGUACUCUAUUAUAAACCAAAAAAACUGUAUUGACUAGCUCUGUGGAAUACAUGUGAUUGUUUUUUAUUCUAAACAAUCAUGAUUUAUUGGAUGCGCAUGUUAGUGUUAAUUGGAUAAUUUUAAACUGACUUAAUGGACUUUGGCUCAUUGCCAACCCAUGUGUAUCUUUUUUUUUUUUUUUUUUGUGAAAUCCUCAAGUGUAUUUUCUUUGUUCAUUUAAGAUUUGAGAGGACUCCCUUUCCUUGUGAUUCCUCCCUUUCCUAGCCUUUACAGAUAAUAACUUUUGAAAAUGUUGAAAAGGUACAUUUAUUGCUAGGAUUUAAUAAUUGUAUGUUCACUUUUAAUCAAGAAGGAAAUCCUCUCAUUGUAUCCCUUUCGGUACCCAUUUUUGUCAAACACCUCUUUUGCUUGGAUGUAGGUAGCUUGAUUAGUUUGACCUGGAGCAGAUCUUGUUGGUUGUGUUUCUCAAUAUAGUUGGCCUUUUUUUUUUCCCCCCACUUUCCCAUGUCAUCUUAAGGCUGGAAUCAUCUUUGAGACCAGAAUCUUUUGGUUUCAUGAGUCUGUUUUUACAUGUACUAGAGUAUAACUGCUUAAUCAAUUUGCCCAUUGUAUAUAAUAUGGUACUGCCAAUGUUGUUACACGGUCAUUGGGAAUUUAUGGUGAGGACUUCAUUUUCAGAUACAUAAAGACUACAAGAUCAAAGCUAACCAAAAGGUAUGAGCCUCUGUUUGGUGUAAAGUUACAAUACCAACUUUAACUAUUGGCAGCUUACCUUCAUACCUUGUAUUAAUUUGAGCCACACUUGAGCCUUACAUGAAUGUUCUGAUUUUUUUUUUUAUGUUCUGAUUUUUCUGUCAGUUUUGGUAGCUAGGGGUUUAAUUUGUUGGUUGGUUUGAGUUGUAGUUGCAUUAGGUCUGUAGGUUUGUUCAAGUUAUUCAUCAUAAUAGUUUUAGAGCUGGUAAUGAUAGAUACUCCUUAACAUGUAGAGAAAGCAGAUCCAUUUUCUCAUCUGGACAUGUUAUAUGUAUGCUGAUAACCUUAAUGUAAAGCAAAGUUCUAGUGCUCUUGGUAUGCCUCUAGUCUAUCAAGAAACCAUUUGUGCAACAACACUAGCUAGAACACACACAUA